rnacentral:rRNA from 1 species
UAGGGAAUCUUCGGCAAUGGGGGCAACCCCUGACCGAGCAACGCCGCGUGAGUGAAGAAGGUUUUCGGAUCGUAAAGCUCUGUUGUAAGUCAAGAACGAGUGUGAGAGUGGAAAGUUCACACUGUGACGGUAGCUUACCAGAAAGGGACGGCUAACUACGUGCCAGCAGCCGCGGUAAUACGUAGGUCCCGAGCGUUGUCCGGAUUUAUUGGGCGUAAAGCGAGCGCAGGCGGUUUGAUAAGUCUGAAGUUAAAGGCUGUGGCUCAACCAUAGUUCGCUUUGGAAACUGUCAAACUUGAGUGCAGAAGGGGAGAGUGGAAUUCCAUGUGUAGCGGUGAAAUGCGUAGAUAUAUGGAGGAACACCGGUGGCGAAAGCGGCUCUCUGGUCUGUAACUGACGCUGAGGCUCGAAAGCGUGGGGAGCGAACAGGAUUAGAUACCCUGGUAGUCCACGCCGUAAACGAUGAGUGCUAGGUGUUAGACCCUUUCCGGGGUUUAGUGCCGCAGCUAACGCAUUAAGCACUCCGCCUGGGGAGUACGACCGUAAGGUUG